rnacentral:rRNA from 1 species
GGAAGUAAAAGUCGUAACAAGGUUUCCGUAGGUGAACCUGCGGAAGGAUCAUUGUCGUGACCCUGACCAAAACAGACCGCGCACGCGUCAUCCAAUCCGUCGGUGACGGCAUCGUCCGUCGCUCGGCCAAUGCCUCGACCACCUCCCCUCCUCGGAGUGGGUGGGGGCUCGGGGUAAAAGAACCCACGGCGCCGAAGGCGUCAAGGAACACUGUGCCUAACCCGGGGGCAUGGCUAGCUUGCUAGCCAUCCCUCGUGUUGCAAAGCUAUUUAAUCCACACGACUCUCGGCAACGGAUAUCUCGGCUCUCGCAUCGAUGAAGAACGUAGCGAAAUGCGAUACCUGGUGUGAAUUGCAGAAUCCCGCGAACCAUCGAGUCUUUGAACGCAAGUUGCGCCCGAGGCCACUCGGCCGAGGGCACGCCUGCCUGGGCGUCACGCCAAAACACGCUCCCAACACCCCUCAUCGGGAAUCGGGAUGCGGCAUCUGGUCCCUCGUCUCGCAAGGGGCGGUGGACCGAAGAUCGGGCUGCCGGCGUACCGCGCCGGACACAGCGCAUGGUGGGCGUCCUCGCUUUAUCAACGCAGUGCAUCCGACGCGCAGCCGGCAUGAUGGCCUCAAAACGACCCAGCAAACGAAGCGCACGUCGCUUCGACCGCGACCCCAGGUCAGGCGGGACUACCCGCUGAGUUUAAGCAUAUAAAUAAGCGGAGGA